AAAACAAGCGGUGAGUGCUUUGGGGUGGGGUGACUGCGUACCUUUUGUAUAAUGGGUCAGCGACUUAUAUUCUGUAGCAAGGUUAACCGUAUAGGGGAGCCGAAGGGAAACCGAGUCUUAACUGGGCGUUAAGUUGCAGGGUAUAGACCCGAAACCCGGUGAUCUAGCCAUGGGCAGGUUGAAGGUUGGGUAACACUAACUGGAGGACCGAACCGACUAAUGUUGAAAAAUUAGCGGAUGACUUGUGGCUGGGGGUGAAAGGCCAAUCAAACCGGGAGAUAGCUGGUUCUCCCCGAAAGCUAUUUAGGUAGCGCCUCGUGAACUCAUCUUCGGGGGUAGAGCACUGUUUCGGCUAGGGGGUCAUCCCGACUUACCAACCCGAUGCAAACUGCGAAUACCGAAGAAUGUUAUCACGGGAGACACACGGCGGGUGCUAACGUCCGUCGUGAAGAGGGAAACAACCCAGACCGCCAGCUAAGGUCCCAAAGUCACAGUUAAGUGGGAAACGAUGUGGGAAGGCUCAGACAGCCAGGAUGUUGGCUUAGAAGCAGCCAUCAUUUAAAGAAAGCGUAAUAGCUCACUGGUCGAGUCGGCCUGCGCGGAAGAUGUAACGGGGCUAAACUGUGCACCGAAGCUGCGGCAGCGACGCUUAUGCGUUGUUGGGUAGGGGAGCGUUCUGUAAGCCUGCGAAGGUGUCCUGUGAGGGAUGCUGGAGGUAUCAGAAGUGCGAAUGCUGACAUAAGUAACGAUAA
rnacentral:rRNA from 2 species